rnacentral:tRNA from 1 species
UUUCUCAUAGUUUAUUUUUUAAAAUAUUACACUGAAAAUGUAAAGAAAUUUGAUUUUUUGAGAAAA